rnacentral:misc_RNA from 1 species
UCCUGGUUAACCCAGGCAGUCUCGUCAGAGUGCCCAACUUAAUGCUGGCAACAGACGAUAGGGGUUGCGCUCGUUGCGAGACUUAACCCAACAUUUCACAACACGAGCUGACGACAGCCAUGCAGCACCUCUCACUCAAUUCCCUUGCGGGCACCCCGACCAUUACAUCGGGUUCUGAGGAGUUCAAGCCUAGGUAAGGUUCUGCGCGUUGCUUCGAAUUAAACCACAUAAUCCACCGCUUGUGCGGGCCCCCGUCAAUUUGUUUGAGUUUUAGUCUUGCGACCGUACUCCCCAGGCGGAGCACUUAAUGCGUUAGCUGCGUCACUGAAGGAGUCAAUACCUCCAAUAACUAGUGCUCAUCGUUUACGGCGUGGACUAC